rnacentral:rRNA from 1 species
CCAGACUCCUACGGGAGGCAGCAGUGGGGAAUAUUGGUCAAUGGUCGGGAGACUGAACCAGCCAAGCCGCGUGAGGGAGGAAGGUACAGAGUAUCGUAAACCUCUUUUGUCAGGGAACAAAGGCGGGGACGUGUCCCCGGAUGAGUGUACCUGAAGAAAAAGCAUCGGCUAACUCCGUGCCAGCAGCCGCGGUAAUACGGAGGAUGCGAGCGUUAUCCGGUUUUAUUGGGUUUAAAGGGGGCGCAGGCGGGCUGUCAGGCGGGCGGCAAACGCCCGGGCCCCCCCCCCGCCCCGCCGUUGAAACUGGCAGUCUCGAGUUGGAGAGAAGUAUGCGGAAUGCGCGGUGUAGCGGUGAAAUGCAUAGAUAUCGCGCAGAACUCCGAUUGCGAAGGCAGCAUGCCGGCUCCACACUGACGCUGAGGCACGAAAGCGUGGGUAUCGAACAGGAUUAGAUACCCGGGUAGC